rnacentral:lncRNA from 1 species
AAGUUCACACCAAAAGUCAUGGAUGAAAGCAUAAUAUCAAUGAGCAUGGUCUUUACAGAAGGACAAUUCAAAACAUUAGCAAAGUAACAUCAGUUUCACUUUUUACACUGACCCAUGCUUUCCUGUAUAGACCUAGAGUUCUCUUCAUUUGUCCAUGGCAUUUGUAGAGGCGAGCUCACACCUUGCGACAGUGUUGUAUUGACUUUCUUCAAACUUUAGACAUCCUGAAUCGAUCAAAGAUUGCACUUUAUGCUUUAGAGCCUUGCAUACCUCUGUUGAAUGCCCACGCGCUCCUUCAUGAUAAUCACACCUGGCAUUUAUGUCAUAGUUCUUUGGGUAAGGAGGUCGUACAGGCCUAGUGGGACAAACCUUUAUGAGGUUAUUGCGGAGAAGAUCUGGCAGUGACUCCGUAUAGGUCAUGGGGAUAGGAGUGAAAUUGACGACCUUCUCAUUCUGGUUGUGAUUUCUCUGAUUAAUGGUUCGGUUGGAACCAUAGAAUGCGCCAUCUGGGAAUAGGCAGUAAAAUGAAAAUUAUCUAUUCGUUCUUUAUUCUUCUCAUGCCGAGGACCAUACUCAUUCAGACAAGCUACCAGAUUUGGAUCUUGUGCAACUUUUCCAUUUCUUAUGCCACCCUGGAUCCUUUCUCCAAUUAUCACUAUAUCAGCAAAACUCGAGGAGACACCGC